rnacentral:rRNA from 1 species
GAUGAACGCUAGCGGGAGGCCUAACACAUGCAAGCCGAGCGGUAUUGUUUCUUCGGAAAUGAGAGAGCGGCGUACGGUGCGGAACACGUGUGUAACCUGCCCUUUAUCUGGGGGAUAGCCUUUCGAAAGGAGAUUAAUACUCCAUAAUAUAUUGAACGGCAUCGUUUAAUAUUGAAAGCUCCGGCGGAUAGAGAUGGGCACGCGCAAGAUUAGCUAGUUGGUGAGGUAACGGCUCACCAAGGCGAUGAUCUUUAGGGGCCUGAGAGGUGAUCCCCCACACUGGUACUGAGACACGGACCAGACUCCUACGGGAGGCAGCAGUGAGGAAUAUUGGUCAAUGGGUGCAAGCCUGAACCAGCCAUCCCGCGUGAAGGACGACUGCCCUAUGGGUUGUAAACUUCUUUUGUAUAGGGAUAAACCUACCCUCGUGAGGGUAGCUGAAGGUACUAUACGAAUAAGCA